CUUGAGUGUUUCUUUAGGGGAAAUCACCACCUCCCAUUCUUACUCCUUGUGGGUUCUGUGGAAUUAACUUUAACUCCUACUCUAGGGAAGACCAUGUGACCCUGGUCUGGCCAAGAGAAGAAGGGCAUCUCCUGGCCAUAGGGAUAGACCCAGAGAUGGACACACAACCAAGCAGGACCAGCAAGCACCUGCCCCAGGACCUCUGCAGGAACUACUAGGAGCUGCUUUCCUUCUGCAGGUUGAUAUGCCUGAAGAAGAAGCAGGCGACCACAUCGUGUACCCUCAACCACCAAGAUGAACUCGGGGAGCAGGGCGGGGAGGACAGGCCCAGAGGCUGACUUCAAGUCUGGUCCAGUUCCUACAGAUGAGGAAACUGAGGCUGAGUGAGGAAGAGUCCUGUCUCCACCCAGCAAUCAUCUGCCACAUAUGCCUUCUCCACCUUCUUAUCCACUGACAGAAUGGACACGAAGAAAGAUGAAUGGGGCCACACCAGGGCUAGGAGAGCUCAGAUGGACUUUCUGAUAUUUCUUGUGCUGGAGAAAGCUCAGAGCAACCUGACAUGGCCAGUUGUGCAAAGCAUAUUGCCUCUCUUUGGUGCCAUAUCUUUUUCCCUUUGAUGUGUGAUCACUUCAUUCCCUCCUUGAUUGCUUUUCAAAAGCAAUCUAAAUUAAUGCGAACCCACAAAGGGCAAGGCUCUCUGUGAAUAAUUAGUGCAUGAUAAUAAAUGCAAAUAGGGAAAGAUGCAAAGUUGGCCUAAGAACUACUGCUCCCUGCUCCCCUGCCCAUUCUCUCCACAUUGGGAAUUCUCUUUACAUUAUUAAAGAAAGAAUUUGAGUAAACUUGAGAAAGGGUGGUAUUCCUAAGCAGAGCACUGGAUUCAUUGAAGGAUGGUAGAAAGAAAGAACAGAAGCUAAAAGAAUCAGACCAGUGACUGCUACAGGGUCUUUGUCCUUUUUUUGUAGGUUCCACUGAAGACAAAACACUUGUCUAGAUUUCUGCCAUUCAGAGGAGGACAUAUCAUCACAGUCAAGAAGGAGCCACCAUAAUUUGGUCCUGUCCACUCAGGAUUUUAUCCUACAAACCCUGAGCUCCAGUCAAUCUUGUCUCCUUUCUGCUCCUUGGCUAAAUCAAAUUAAAAACAAAUCCAAAGCCGGGGAUGAGAUGUGUUCAGACCUUCCGUAAAACUGUCUUGAAUAUUAUGCAGAGAGAACUGGACAAACUGAAGGUUAGGAAAUGUUUCAGCUGGUAAGGCAAGCCCCUGCUUAUUCUCCAUCAAAUCGUUUGUCCCGAGUCCCUUCUGGAAGUCAGUUUUUAUCUAUUGUCAUAUUUAAUGGGCAGAGCUGUAUGGGAAGGGGAUGAAGUAUCUGUGGAGCCUGAAAAUUGGACUCCUCCAAUCCCUUUAUUCAAGAUCAUAGAUUAUUAGAUCAAUACAAGAUUUGGGCAGGGACACACAUCCAAACUGUAUCAUCUCCCAUGCACCCCAUAUUCCCUACACUUCCUGUAAUCCAGGGACAGAAAACAGAUUUCAGCUCAAGUGCCUUCUAAUCCAUUUACAAUGGCUGCCAGGAGGGCUAUAUUCAGAAUAGUCUGAGAGCAUGUCUGGGAUCAGUAGGAAAUGGGUGAGAAAAUCCAGAAGUUUCAUGUCCUUCACAUCUCUGUCAUUCCUGAUUGAGUCCACCCCUGUCAUUUUCACUGUGGCCAAAUUAAGGCCUUAAAGGAAGAACUGACACCCAGCAUCACAGAGUAAAUUGAUAAAAAGAACCCAGCUCUCCCUGAAUCUCUUAUUUUCCUAUAAUCCAGAGUUUAAGACAGGAGAUGGAUCUAAGAGUACAGUCAUAAUACUAUAACCAUUUCUAAAUGCUUACUAUGUGCCAAGUACUAUCCUAAGUGCUUUUCAUGUAUAUUCGCAUUUAAUCCUGCCAGAACACUGAGAAAUAAUCAUCCCCGCUUAACGGGUGAAAUUGACACACAAGAGUGGUCAAGUAACCCAUCCAAUAUCCCAGGACCAGUAAGUGACAAAGUAGGGAUUGACACACGGCAAGAAUAGAACAGAACUGGGUCUAGAAACAUCCUCACACAAUCGGUGGAAGAUUCUGGUAAUUACACCAACACAUACAAAGUCAAUUCGCAUUGGAAAAAUACCCCAUGAAGGCCCAGUGAUCUUUUCAGCCCUGGUGAUGUCAAAGGCUGCAGAAUAAGGAGUGGAAAGUCCUAGUUACCAUGACAGGAAGCACCAGUGAGUGAUUUAGAAGGCAGGAGAUGAGAACAGGCAAUUCAGCAGGACUCAGGUAGGACGCUGAGCUCUUGGCAUGAACAGAUAGGUUUCGCCAUGGUCUCGAGUAUGACAGGUUGGUCCCAAAAGGUCCAGUUUUGCUCAAAAGAUUCCCUGAAACUGAAAAUGUAGUAUAACGGAAUAUCACUGGCUGGCUCCAAUCCUCGGGGCUUGCUGUUUCAGAAGAGAAAGAGGCGCCCAUCGAUGUAUUUAUAGGCUUAAAGCUGGCAUGCACUGAAGCUACCUGGGGUUACUCAACAACUGUUUUAGGGCACAUUUCCUCCAUCUUUUUGUUUCAUUAGGUUUUAGUCGGUCAGCUAUCUGGGGCCUGAAUUAGGAUUUCACACACAUCCAGAGCCAAAUGACAAAACAAACAAAAGAAGCCCUGUGACUAAAACAGAACUUGGGGUCAGCAGCUCAGUAAGGGUGGCCCCCUGGAAACAACUCCUGUGUAGGAUCAAAGGAAAGUCAAGUGGUAUGUCACAUCCCAGGGCUGGGGACCCUUAGGGGAGGGGAGCCCCACUGCCUUGAGCUCAGCCAGUCACCCCUUUGUUCCACGACCUUGGCCUGCAAAGUUCUUCCCUCCCAUCCCUGAGCAAAAUCCUAAAGUUCCUUCAAGUUCUGGCCCAAGUGUCGACUUCUUUGGGAAGUCUUCCCUUACUCCAUCCCUACCCCACCUCUUCUUCCUACAGAAAAAAAAAGAAGUUUCUCGUCCCCCUCCUCCACACUCUGUCCUCAGUUCCCAGCCCAUCCCACAAGUCUCUGGAGACUGGGAGAGCAUAGGUGUGGAGUCGCCCUCAUUCACCACUUUAGAGAGACUGGAACAACAUCAGCAGCCCUGUGGAGGCAAGCCCAGGCCCAGGCACUAUGGUCUCCCGGAUUAUAAUGAUUCACACACGGAAAACAUUGGAGAGAAAAAGCUGAAAAGGAAUAUGCUGCCCAAAUUUCUCUACCAUGAGCAAGUAUUGCUUUUAUCAUUGGAAAAACAUAAAAUAAACAUUUUAAUGGACUGCACAUUUCUCACGCUAAAGGAGCUAAUGGUGUUUCCUAUUGUGUGGAAAACAGACCUGAACCCAUCCACAGGAUGCUGAAGAAUCCACAAAUUACGGCACGCAUUGACAGUGCCUAUGUACAUGGGAAGGAGGAAACUCAGCCUGCCUGGGGCAUCAGGGAAGGCUCCACACAGGACAGGAUGAGUGAGAGCUCUCCAGUUAGACUAGGGAAGAUGAGGCAGAAGGGAAUUCAAGGCAGAAGGAACAGUAUGGUCAAAGGCAGAGUCAUGAAUGUGCAAGCUAAAUAAUAUGGCUGGAAUGUGGGAGAUAUGGGAGAUGAUAUCAUUUGGAUGGGUGUCCCCGUUCAAAUCUCACAUUGAACGAUAAUCCACAGUGUUGGAGGUGAGCCCUGGUAAGAGGUGACUGGAUCAUGGGGGCAGAUUUCUCAUGAAUGAUUAGCACCAUCCCCCUUGGUACUGUUUUCACCACAGUGAGUUCUUGUGAGUUCUGGUUAUUUAAAAGUGUGUAGCAUCUCCCCCCUCACUUUCUCUCACUCCUGUUUUUGCCAUGUGAUAUGCCUACUCCCCUUUCAGGUUCCACCAUGAUCGUAAGUUUCCUGAGGCCUCCCCAGAAGAUGUUGGCACCUCAUUUCCUGUAAAGCCUGCAGAACCAUGAGCGAAUUAAAUCUCUUUUCUUUAUAAAUCACCCAGUCUCAGGUAUUCCUUUAUAGCAAUGCAAGAAUGGCCUAAUACUGGAGAGAAUCGUGGAUGUGAGGUAUGCAAUAAAAGGUUAACUCCACUAGCUUGGGGUCCUCAAACUCUGCACCUUCCAAAGAAAGAACUGGCCCUUGACCAGCCCCCGGGAAAUAACCUCUGAGCCCUUGGAAUAUCGUGCCUGAUGGAAUAGAGUAUCUUUGUAUCGCUGGGGCUUUGGGCCACCCCACAUAGUUUAUGCUAACAGUGUAAUUCAUGAUAAAGGCCUGUUUUUGUUUACCUGGAGUCCCAGCCCAUGCUGUAUCGGUUUGAUUCCAGGCAUGCAGGGGUUGCAUAGAGACUGAGUAGCCAAGGUCAGUCACGUGGGUGACUCAUACCUCCGUGACUGACUCCCUUCUCCUAACAAAAACCCUGGACACCAAGGGGCAGUUGGGUUUCCCUGCUAUGUUUUGUCACACAUCAUUGCUGGGAGAGUUCAGUGCUAUCCAAGUGACUCCCCCGGGAGAGGACAACUGGAAAUUUAUGCCUGGUGUCUUCCUGGACUCCGACCUAUGCACCUUUUUCCUUGGAUGAUUUUAACCUGUCUCCUUUUGCUGCAAUGAACCAUAACCAUGAGUAUAUCAGCUUUUCUAAUUUUUGUGAGUCCCUCAAGUGAAUUAUCAAACCUAAGGUAGUUUUGGGACCCCCAUCACAGAGAGUCAAACAGGGGCAGGGCAAGAAGAGCUGCUUUUCCUGGAAGGCUAAUGAGUCUGAACUUCGCCCUGGAGGUAAUCGUUAUAGUAACUCCAGGCUCUAACCUGGAGCUGACAUGAUAAGGUCAAAUGUACACCUCUAGAAGACUUCCGACUGCAGAGGGGAAUGGAUGGGGGAGCUGAGGGAGGAGAGCUGAAGCAGGAAGACCAUGGCCUGGAAAGAGAUGGCUGAACCAGUCCAGAAUCACAAGAAAGGCAUCAGCACCUUCUGUGAAAUGGGGAGCCAUGCAGAGGAGGUGCCCAGGUGGCGAGGAGUCCAUGUCAGCUGCCGUCAUCCACACCACAGAUCAGACAUGGCAAAGAGUGGCCAGGCCUUCUGAGUGAAGGUGAUCCAACCUGUCACCAAGCCUAAGGGCAAAUCCUGGCUGUGCUGUGAUGGCUCCAACAACCCCAAACAGCAGCGCAGAGGCUGCAGCCGCCCUCGGAGGCAACACUGGGAAACGCUCAUUAGCAGCCUUCCAUUGCUCACCCGCCCCAUCCCACCUCUGUGCAUCCCAGAUCAUCAGCGAAGUGCACAGCUGGCUUCCAUCCUCGGAGCCUUCCUCCUUCAUUUGCCUAUUCAACAGUUACAAAGGCCUGAGUUGCAAAGGGGCUUACAACCCAUUCCACCCAGAAGAAAGAGAACUGAGACUGAGCAAGACAGAGAAUAGGUGGAAGGGGAGAUGAAACCAAGCAAUCUCUAGAUCCCAAAUGGGGACCCUGAUGUAGCAAGAGCCUCUUUUAAAUCCUUUUCCAAUAGGGUAAUAUGGAAAAUAGUUGAAAGCACAAGCCAAGUGGGGCUGGAAUCCCAAAUGGGCCAUUUACUAGCUGUGUGACUGGACAAGUAAUUUCAUAUUUCUGGGCCUCGAUUUUUCUCAUCUGUAAAAUAGAAAAAAAAAAACCUAUGUCAUAACGUUGAUAAACAGAUUAGAUGAGCUAAGAUCUAAAAUGUCUUCUAUUCAGUAGGUGCUCAAUAAAUGUUAUCUAUUUUUACGAUUGAGUCUCUAAGUCUGGAGAUUAAGGAGGAAAGUUUCACAUGCUGGGUUCUGCAGGUAAUACAGUGAGACAUGGUUUCUGUACUCAUGCUCCUAACUUAGGUGGCAACAGCUGAGAGGAUAGUCUGAGGCUGUGCAGGGCUGAAAGCCUCCUGAGAGGUCAUCUGAUCCCCUAUUUUCAUGGGUGAGAAAACAGAGAUGUAAAACAACCUUCUCCCAAAGUCAACAGCAAGAUAGUGCCAAAGUCAACACUAGAACCCAGGGCUCCAGGCUUCUAUUGUUCUUUCCCCUCCAAUAAAAACCUAAUGACAGGAUGCCACAAGUCAGGACGUGAAUAAAAUUUCAAAUAACUUGCCAUAGAGAACACUGUGCCCUGUCCAGAUCCCUGUUCCCAGGCCAUGUACCAUCCCUUGGCUGCUUUGGGUGGUGGCUACCAGUGGCUCACAGCUGCCCUGUCCUCUGGAGAAUUGCCACCCCCACCGUCCCCACACCCAGCUGAUGAGGGAGAUUAUACCCAGUGCUGUGUUGGCAAAUGUUUAGCAGCCACUUUCUGGUGGGGUAGGAGGAGCCCUGGCUUGAGUAUUUGCCACUUUCCCUGGUGUAAAUAUUCCCACCAUGGCCGACUCCAAGCUCCCAGCAAGACAUCACCGAAGGUGGAGUUGUGGAGAGAUGCACAUAGCUCUCCAUCACAUAGUGUUUCCACCAUAAAGAUCCAAUAACCAAAAAUAACUGCAAGUGCACAGAUUUUUAAAACUGUAGUAAAAUAAUUAGGAAGUGAUGACUUUUGAAUAUGUAUUUCCAUUGUUUCAGCAUUAUUUACUUAAUUAUAACUUUACAUGAUUUAAUUGUUAAUAGUGGCUCACAACGUUCCUAAAAACGUGACCACCACAAGCUCGUAAGGGUCAGGUCCAACACAACACUGGUUUACCCCCACUCCCACCCUGCCAGCCUGAGGCCAGUGACUGAUGACAUGAGGAUACAAAAAGCUGGCUGUUCAUCUCAUCUAGGGGUGAGGAACAACUUGUGGUGUGAUUAAUAGCAGAGCUCCCAUGGAUCAGGCCCAGACUAGGAUUACCUGAAGCCACUUCCUCCCUCAGCUCCUCCCCCUCCCCAUCCUUCUGUUGCCACCUCCUUACAGGUAUUUCCAGAAAGGCACACCAAUAAACAGCAUGCACCCAAGGCCCCGUCUCAGGCUCUAUUUCUAAAAAACUCAACCUAAGCCAUGCACACUGGCUCACACCUGUAAUCUCAGCACGUUGGAAGGUCAAGGUGGGAGGAUCACUUGAGCCCAGGAGUUCAAGACCAGCCCAAGCAACACAGCAAGACGCCAUCUCUACAAAAAAUAAAAAAAUUAGCCAGGAGUGCUGGUGUGCGCCUGCAGUCCUCGCUAAUCAUGAGGCUGAGGCAGGAGGAUCACUUGAGCCCAAGAGUUUGAGGCUACAGUGAGCCAUGAUCACACCAUUGCACUCCAACCUGGGUGAUAGAGCAAGACCCUGUCUCCAAAAAAAACAACAAAAAAGAAAAGAACCCAAUCGAAAAUACUUGUACAGAGUGAAAAUUUAGGGAGAAAAUUUAGAAAAGAUCAUUGUGGCUUUGGAGGAAUCCCAGGAAGCUUUCUGCAGGAGGUGGGAUCCAAAGAGUGGGUAGGAUUUUGAUUUGGAAAUGAAAGCCAGGAACCCUCCAGACGGAGAGAGCAGUUUAAUCCAGGUGAAACCAACAACCAUGCAUUUGACAAGUCCGUCUGCCCAGCGGGGCGGGGUUUUCCUAGAGACAAGCCAUGAGCCCUGGGGACCACCCAUUAAGGACUGCCAAAGUUGGAGGAGGGGGCGUUUCCAUGGCUACGGUGUGAUUAAGAAAGAUGUGUGGCUCUCUGGCAAGGGCAGUAUGGUGUGCUAGUUUGCACUAGAAACAUCAUCUGUACCAAAACCUUUGGAGCCAGAAGGUCGUCUUUGGAUCAUUUACUGCCACUGAUGGAUGAAAGCUUUCAGUUGUAAAAGAGCCCACUGAGUCAAGGAAGACAUCUUCUUCUUCAGAGGCUGUUCAAUUCCCACAUGCAGUGAUGAGGAAGACUGGG
rnacentral:lncRNA from 1 species